rnacentral:hammerhead_ribozyme from 1 species
GCACUGCUGAGGAGUCCCGUAAUGGGACGAAACGACCGUCCAGUGU